rnacentral:rRNA from 1 species
CCCUUAGAUGUUCUGGGCUGCACGCGCGCUACACUGAAGCUAUCAACACGUUUUCCCUCCCUGAGAAGGGCGGGUAACCUUUUGAAUCAGCUUCGUGGUAGGGAUCGGGGCUUGCAAUUGUUCCCCGUGAACCAGGAAUUCCUAGUAGACGCGAGUCAUAAGCUCGCAUCGAUUAAGUCCCUGCCCUUUGUACACACCGCCCGUCGCUACUACCGAUUAAACGUUUUAGUGAGGCAUUUGGACCGACGCAUCUCAGUUUAACCGCUGGUUUGUGUUGGAAAGACUUCCAAACUUGAGCGUUUAGAGGAAGUAAAAGUCGUAACA